AUUGCACGCUGGCGGCAGGCUUAACACACGCAAGUCGAGCGGGGUGAUGGUGCUUGCACUAUCACUUAGCGGCGGACGGGUGAGUAAUGCGUAGGAAUCUGCCUAUUAGUGGGGGACAACAUCUCGAAAGGGAUGCUAAUACCGCAUACGUCCUACGGGAGAAAGCAGGGGAUCACUGGUGACCUUGCGCUAAUAGAUGAGCCUAAGUCGGCUUAGCUAGUUGGUGGGGUAAAGGCCUACCAAGGCGACGAUCUGUAGCGGGUCUGAGAGGAUGAGCCGCCACACUGGGACUGAGACACGGCCCAGACUCCUACGGGAGGCAGCAGUGGGGAAUAUUGGACAAUGGGGGGAACCCUGAUCCAGCCAUGCCGCGUGUGUGAAGAAGGCCUUAUGGUUGUAAAGCACUUUAAGCGAGGAGGAGGCUCUUUUGGUUAAUACCCAAGAUGAGUGGACGUUACUCGCAGAAUAAGCACCGGCUAACUCUGUGCCAGCCGCCGCAGUAA
rnacentral:rRNA from 1 species